rnacentral:rRNA from 1 species
CCUACGGGUGGCAGCAGUGGGGAAUAUUGGACAAUGGAGGAAACCCUGAUCCAGCGACGCCGCGUGAGUGAAGAAGGAUUUCUGUACGUAAAGCUCUAUCAGCAGGAAAGAAAAUGACGGUACCUGACUAAUAAGCCCCGGCUAACUACGUGCCAGCAGCCGCGGUAAUACGUAGGGGGCAAGCGUUAUCCGGAUUUACUGGGUGUAAAGGGGGCGUAGACGGCAGCGCAAGUCUGGAGUGAAAUGCCGGGGCACAACCCCGAAACUGCUCUGGAAACUGUGAAGAUGGAGUGCAGGAGAGGUAAGCGGAAUUCCUGGUGUAGCGGUGAAAUGCGUAGAUAUCAGGAGGAACACCGACGGCGAAGGCAGCUUACUGGACUGUAACUGACGUUGAGGCUCGAAGGCGUGGGGAGCAAACAGGAUUAGAUACCCGUGUAGUC